CAGUCGCCGCGGUAAUACGUAGGGUGCGAGCGUUAAUCGGAAUUACUGGGCGUAAAGCGUGCGCAGGCGGUUGUGUAAGACAGGUGUGAAAUCCCCGGGCUUAACCUGGGAACUGCGCUUGUGACUGCACAGCUAGAGUAUGGCAGAGGGGGGUGGAAUUCCACGUGUAGCAGUGAAAUGCGUAGAGAUGUGGAGGAACACCGAUGGCGAAGGCAGCCCCCUGGGCCAACACUGACGCUCAUGCACGAAAGCGUGGGGAGCAAACAGGAUUAGAUACCCCCGUAGUCCCUGUCUCUUAUAC
rnacentral:rRNA from 1 species